rnacentral:rRNA from 1 species
GUGGGGAAUAUUGGACAAUGGGGGGAACCCUGAUCCAGCCAUGCCGCGUGUGUGAAGAAGGCCUUUUGGUUGUAAAGCACUUUAAGCGAGGAGGAGGCUACAGAGAUUAAUACUCUUGGAUAGUGGACGUUACUCGCAGAAUAAGCACCGGCUAACUCUGUGCCAGCAGCCGCGGUAAUACAGAGGGUGCAAGCGUUAAUCGGAUUUACUGGGCGUAAAGCGCGCGUAGGUGGCCAAUUAAGUCAAAUGUGAAAUCCCCGAGCUUAACUUGGGAAUUGCAUUCGAUACUGGUUGGCUAGAGUAUGGGAGAGGAUGGUAGAAUUCCAGGUGUAGCGGUGAAAUGCGUAGAGAUCUGGAGGAAUACCGAUGGCGAAGGCAGCCAUCUGGCCUAAUACUGACACUGAGGUGCGAAAGCAUGGGGAGCAAACAGGAUUAGAAACCCGGGUAGUCC